CAAAAAUAAUACAUAUCUUAGUCAGGAUUGACCACCCUGGCUGAGAUAUUAUUUUUCGCAAAAGCUAUAUACAAUACUCAUUGUCCGUGAUUUAUUCGGAUUGAAAGUGACUACUAAUAGGUUUUUCCAAGGAAGCUAUUGCGUUUAUUUUUGUAGAAUUAUUUUCAAUUAUUUUUUCUGAUUUCGUUAUGUUAUUUUUAAUUUCCGUCAUUGUUUAUCGCGUUAUUGGUGUAUGUAUUAUCUGUCACUUUGCUUACUUAUUUUUAUUUCUGGUUAUGUCCGCAUAGUUGAAUUCCGGGUUUAUUAAUGAUUUAUUUAAUCGGGUUUUCUCUUUUGUCUUAAUUUUUUGUGUCAUUGGCGUUGGUGUUUAUGUUCUUAAUUCUUUUUUUAUUCUCAAUUAUUUGGGGGCAGCUUCUAUACGAGGCAGGGUGGCCGUAGCUAUUGCAAUUGACGCAAAAUAGUUUUGGCCUUUUUAAUUGUGUAUGCGGCGGAUAUCUACAUUUACCUGUUCGUGUUUAGUAAAACAGUAUUUAAGUUGGUUUUAAAUGUAAGAUUCGACUGUGAAUACUGGUCUGAGUCUUGCAUGAAUAAUAAAAUUAUUUUAUUAAAAUGCGCGUCGCGUGCUGGAGUCCUCCAAAGUAGUGUACGCGAGGUACGCAUGUGCAUGCGCCGCGCUGCGUACGUUUCAUAUAUCGACGCGCUCUAUCACUUGACCGCCGACGCUCGACCGAGUGAGCGGCGCGUACGAACUGUUCCACUCGUUUUCUCACUGCUCCUCGGAAUUACAUUAUAUCAGAUAAAGAUACCGAAAGCGUCUUGUUACGACCUUCUGAGAUUAUUACAAUUUGAUUAUUCUCUCACACGACUUCUCAAUUCCCGAUUUAUAAAUCUGUCGAAGUUGGUUCGUCAUGUAGAUAUUUUGCGCGAUUUAUCUACUUGACGUAGAUAAUUACAAAUUAUUAUUUCGUAGGGCGGAGAUUCUUACUUUAUAACGAUAUUUGGAUACUGAUGUUAUUUGAGUUUUUACGCAUAUUUGUUUAAUGUCCAGCGAAAAUAAUCGCUUUGUUGUUCGCAAGGUGAAGUUUGAAACAGAUUCGUGCAAUACCGUUCGAGAUUCAUACUUUAUAAUGUAUUGCGUAGAGCGAAUUGCAGUUUUUUGCAUUAUGUCAUAUCAAAAUUUUUUAAGCGCGUUGAUUGACUGUAGAAUAGAGUUUUCGAGUCUCUAUUUAGACGACAUAAUUACGUGUUCAUUAUACAACAACUAUAUGUUUCAACAUCAUAUUUUAUAUAACGUGAAAUUUGCUGUAAUGUUGUAGAUUAUGUUAUAAUUUCGUCCUUUUUUAAAAAUAAUGAUGAUGGAAUAUUUAUGUUACAAGUACAUUAUCAUAAGGUACAGAUGCUAUAUAUAUGUUACAUAGCUUUUUUAACCUUGCCCUUCUUUCUUUAAAGCUAACACUUUUACUCUACUUUUCUCAUCAAAUAUCAACUUUUCUUGCCUCUCCUUUAUCAUUUCUUUCUCUUCUUUUACUCCACCUUUCUUUCCUUCUGUAUUUAUUUUCUCUUUUCUCAUCUUCGUGUCUUAAUCUUCAAAUCUACGCAAGUAAUAUAACAAUAACAAUUGUGUCGACUGGAUAGAAAUCAUUAAUCCCGCUAAUCAACAAACUUGUAAAAUUUGUCGCGCGACAAACGCACAUAACAGCAUCCUUAAUUUCACAUGCAAGUAAGAUACGCAUCGCGCUGCGUAUGUAUAACAAUUCGAUGCGUCAUGCGCCGCGUACACGUGCUAGAAUCCUGGAAGUAGUGGCAAGGUUAACGUGCCGUACGCACGUGCGUACAUACAUGUGUAAGUUCACCGCGCUAUCGUUCGACCGUCGACGCUCAACUGACAAUGAAUGAGUAUGUAGCGCGCACGAGCUGUUUUCUCACUGCUUAUCGGAAUUACAGUAGUCGUAGCAGAUGUGAAGAGACACUGAAAGUGUCUCUCGUCACUCCCUUCUGAUAUCAUAAUAAUUCGUCAUUUUCGCACGGCUUCUAAUCUUCUGAUUCAUAUGUCUGUUGAGGUUGAUUACACAACGCAGAUCUUCCGCGCGAUUUAUUUACUCGUCGUGGGCGAUGGAGAAUAACUGCAAUUUAUUACCUCAUAAUAUUUUGGGGCGAAGAUAUUACUUUCCUUAUUAUUAAUAUAAUGGUAUUUGGACACUGAUACAUUAUGAUAAUUCGAUUUUUUCACGAAUUGAGAGUGCGACACGCGAAUCAUUUUCUAAGUAAUUGAAACAAUGGAUACGUUUAUGUAUAAUAUUGACUGUUUACGAAUAAUUAAUCGGAACACAGGGAAAUUAAUGCGUUUAGCGAAGAUAAUUGUUUCGUUAUUCGCAAGGUGAGAUAGAUCUGUCCGCGGCAACGCUGCGUUCGAGAUUCAUACUUUACGAUUUGUGAGACAGUCGUAGAGAGCAAAUCGUAGUUUUUCACAGCCCAUAUAUCACGCCACCUUAGUCUUGCAUCGUAAUUUGCACAUAGAGUGCAUGAUGUCAAGGACGGUUAACGAGAGUGCAAAGUAUCGUGCGACAGUCAUCGUAUCUUAGUAAUUAGUGUGCGAUAAUUAAUUACAGUUCCGCGAGUGAGUGUCUGUGUGAAUGUCAGGAAGAAAUCUGAGAGGAGCAGGCGGCCUAGGAGGCAUCGGGCGGAACACUAAGUGAAAGUAUUGUUACAACUUCUCUGCUGUGCAUCGGUAUAUCGGUGAGUUUAUAUUUUAUGAUAAUUUGAGAUAUUGGAUCUGUGAACAUUACUGAUAAAUAUAAUAGAUGAAAUCUGACAGAUUCAUUGCCCUGAUGGGUUCGAACAGAUUAGAUCAAAUAUUUAAUCGGGAUUAUAUCUGUAUAAUUAUUUAUUCAGCAUUUUCUGUAGGAUGCAAUUUUCAGGAAACGCAAUCGAGAAAACAUUAUGAGGCCACAUGAGAUACAUAUUAGUAAUAAACAUAUUAGUAAUAAUGUGAAUUUUAUAAUAUUGGAUAUUACAAUUGAUUAAAUUUCCAAAUUUAUUAUUAUUUAGUGAAAUAGUGAAAACUUUGAAAGAAAUCAAAUAAAAUUAAAGAGAGAAUAUUUGGAACUUAAUUUUUCUAUUUAACUUUAUUAAUCCCUUCAUGGUGUUUUGUAUGCAGAUUGAGAUAAGAUAUUUGUGUAUUGUGUAUUUGAGAAAUAAAAAACGUUUUCGUUUUUUUUUAUAUUGGAAUUUUUAAUUUUAAAUAAUUGAUAUUGAUAUACAAACACGGUAUAAAUAAUGUUUAUUUCAGAAAGAUGCUGAUGUAGUAAAUUUCAUUGUUUUAUAUUAUCUGUUAUAAGUGAAAAAGGACGCUGAUGAAAAUGUAAACGCAAUAAAAUUAAACUUUGUUCCAACAUUUCCGAUAAAAUUAAUCAAAUAGAAUCGAUGCGCUAACCAGCUGUUAUUGUAACACACAUUUUUCUAGCCACCAACAAUUAUAAAUUAUUAAAGCGGUACGUUGCAUUAUGCGGUCGCCGCAUGUUGACAAUGCAAAGACACAUCAAUGGUAUGGGAGAUUUUAUUGUUUGGUCACUUUAUUGAUGUUAUAAAAUAAGUGCUUUAUUCUGUUGCCUUUGUUACCGUUAAUAUAUGCGCGAAAUUGGUUCUCUUUUGUGCCUUUGCUAAUUUUCUCUACAUUAAUAUGGAAUAAUUGAUAUGGCUUUAUUUUAAAUAAAAAA